UACGAAGGGGGCUAGCGUUGCUCGGAAUCACUGGGCGUAAAGGGUGCGUAGGCGGGUCUUAAGUCAGGGGUGAAAUCCUGGAGCUCAACUCCAGAACUGCCUUCGAUACUGGCGAUCUAGAGUCCGGAAGAGGUGAGUGGAACUCCUAGUGUAGAGGUGGAAUUCGUAGAUAUUAGGAAGAACACCAGUGGCGAAGGCGGCUCACUGGUCCGGUACUGACGCUGAGGUGCGAAAGCGUGGGGAGCAAACAGG
rnacentral:rRNA from 1 species